GUGCUCACUUGGGCAACACAUAUACUAAAAUUGGAACGAGACAGAGAUAGAGAUUAGCAUGGCCCCUGCACAAGGAUGACAGGCAAAUUCGUGAAGUGUUCCAUAUUUUU